rnacentral:sRNA from 1 species
CGGUCUCGAUCUGAUCCGGACUGAUGAAGUGGAUGUGGGUGUCGAUCCCACCGGCGGUGAGGAUCUUGCCCUCGCCGGAGAUGAUGUCGGUUGCCACCCCGAUAAUGAUGUCGACGCCCUCCAUGGUGUGGGGGUUCCCGGCCUUGCCGAUCUUGACGAUGUGUCCGUCGCGGAUUGCGACGUCGGCCUUGUAGACACCGGUCCAAUCGAUGACGAUCACGUUCGUGAUCACCAGGUCCGGGACCCCGACGUCGCGUACGAGCUGGCCAUUCUGACCCAUGCCGUCCCG